GUCUCCUUCCAUAGUGUGGAAGCUUUGUUCUUUCACUCUUUGCGAUAAAUCUUGCUGCUGCUCACUCUUUGGGUCCACACUGCCUUUAUGAGCUGUAACAUUCACCGCGAAGGUCUGCAGCUUCACUCCUGAGGCCAGCGAGACCACGAGCCCACCAGAAGGAAGAAACUCCGAACACGUCCGAACAUCAGAAGGAACAAACUCUGGACACACCACCUUUAAGAACUGUAACACUCACUGCGAGGGUCCGCAGCUUCAUUCUUGAAGUCAGUGAGACCAAGAACCCACCAAUUCCAGACACACCAUGUUAACUGUAUCUGCAAAACAGAGCCGUGGGACCUCUGGAAGUCUGACCAACCUAUUUCCAACUGUGCUUCUAGAAGCAUGUUCUGUCUUCAGAAUCUGGUUGGCAUCAAUGCUGAGACCUAAACCACAAGCAUGAGGCCCUCACCAGACUCCACCAGAAGUGGCCACCCAAUAUUGAACUUCCCAGCCUUCAGAAUUAUAAUACUCAUUCUCCGGGCAGCAGACAAAAGACUUGGAGACAUACACAGCUGAAGGAAAUGAAAAGGCAACAAGGCUAAGAGAACAAAGAUGAGCAUUGCCACGGUCCGGAGGAUGGUGGUGGAGGAAGCCUUCUCUACGCUGGUGCCUCUAUUGGAACUUUCAGGAAAUGAACAUGUGUGUUUUGUGUUUUUCCCUUUACACCUCAAGAAACUUGGAACAAUGAUUUUCUUUUAUGGAGAAGCUUACAUUUAAGCAGAUUAAAAAUUAGCCCCAAGAAUAGAAAUACAGAAUCAAAGUCCACAAAUUUAAUUAUUGUUUCCCCUGGUUAGCUGAUCUUCAAUUCUGAUAUCUUCCUCUCUCUGGUGUAGGGGAGUAAGGGUUAUACCCAUUUUGAAAUUCGUUGUUGUAUUACGACUACUAAUACACAGGGAAAGUUUCUAUGCAUUCAUUUAUUCAUCAAUAGAUAUUUAUUAGGACUCACUGUUUAUGGAACUGCCCAAGAUAUUGUGGGAGAUACAAGGGAGAAGAAAACAUCAACCCUGUUCUCAGAGUGUUUAAAGUCUACCAGGACUUCAAACGUGUCCAUUGCACACGUAAGCAUAAUAAAAGUUAAAAGGAGGUAUGCUAUAAAAUGGAUCAAAAUCAAAGGCUUUAAGAAGAGGAAAGGCAUUCCUUCUAGCUUUGGUCAGAUUUGGUCCACAAUCAAAUCAAAUUCUUAUUAAGUUCAUAUUCUCUUACUGACAAACUAAACUGCUGCAAAAAAUAAUCCUCCCCCAUGGGAGAUCUUACAGACAUACCCUAAUUGCCCUAGCUAAGUUUAGAAUGUAGCUCUGAAAAGAAUGACAAAAGACCUUGAAGAGGCAAGCAAGAGAUUUUGAAAUAUCUGGUCUAUAAGGGUAAAAGACUGUAUGAUACCAAAGCCUCAGGGUACCCAGCUGGGGUCAAUCUAUAUUAAUUGCUAACACCUAGAGGUAAUUAGCAGUAAUUACCCAAAGGAGUGAUGGGAUGGCCAGACGGACUUAAAGGCAGCAAUUCCAGGAGCUCCUACCAUGUUGGGAACCUAACAGCUUCUAGGUAACAAGAAAUAAAUUAGGUUUCCCCAGCAAUUUAUGUAGAUAGUUUUAAGAUUGUAUUACAAAGGACCCCGUGGGGCAAGCUUUUAUAAAUAUAUUACUAAAACUCGUAGCCCUUGCUACCCAGAGGUGAAGUUUAUUUUCUCACCCUUUGAGUCUGAGCUGAUCUUACCACUUGCUUUAACCGAUGAAUAUGGGGAAAGAGAAAUUGUGCAACUUUUGCUAGUAAGUCUUACAAGACCUGCAGCUUCCAGCUUCACCUUCUAGGAACAUUGCCCUGAGAUCAUCUUGUGAGGCAGCUGGUCUAGCCUCCUGGAGGAGAAGCAGUUUUGUGGAGAAGAUUCCAGGCAUCCCUGCCAACAAGCACCAACUCCAGAUAUAUGAGGAAGAGUAGUUUACAACUGACACUGUUUGGAAUUGCUGGCACAUGGUGAUAAUCAAAGGUAGGCUGACUUCUUGUCAUUUAAAUCGUUGCUUUAAAAUUUACAG
rnacentral:lncRNA from 10 species